rnacentral:rRNA from 1 species
AUUGAACGCUGGCGGCAGGCUUAACACAUGCAAGUCGAGCGGAGUGAUGGUGCUUGCACUAUUACUUAGCGGCGGACGGGUGAGUAAUGCUUAGGAAUCUGCCAUUUAGUGGGGGACAACAUUCCGAAAGGAAUGCUAAUACCGCAUACGUCCUACGGGAGAAAGCAGGGGAUCUUCGGACCUUGCGCUCAAUGAUGAGCCUAAGUCGGAUUAGCUAGUUGGUGGGGUAAAGGCCUACCAAGGCGACGAUCUGUAGCGGGUCUGAGAGGAUGAUCCGCCACACUGGGACUGAGACACGGCCCAGACUCCUACGGGAGGCAGCAGUGGGGAAUAUUGGACAAUGGGCGGAAGCCUGAUCCAGCCAUGCCGCGUGUGUGAAGAAGGCCUUUUGGUUGUAAAGCACUUUAAGCGGGGAGGAGGCUCUUGAGGAUAAUACCCUUGAUGAGUGGACGUUACCCGCAGAAUAAGCACCGGCUAACUCUGUGCCAGCCGCCGCAGUAAAAC